GGGAACUACGAGCUAAGCUUAAAACCCAAAGGACUUGACGGUACCCCAUAUCCCCCUAGAGGAGCCUGUCCUAUAAUCGAUAAUCCACGUUUAACCUCACCAUUUCUAGUUAAUCAGCCUGUAUACCUCCGUCGUCAGCUUACCACGUGAGCGCCAAUUAGUGAGCUUAAUGUCUUCACCAACACGUCAGGUCAAGGUGCAGCAAAUGAAAUGGGAAGAGAUGGGCUACACUUUCUAUAUUAGAAAAAACGAAAAACUAUUUAUGAAAACUAGUUGGAAGGCGGAUUUAGCAGUAAAAAGGAAUCAGAAUGUCCAUUUUAACCCGGCACUGGGGUGUGUACACACCGCCCGUCACCCUCUUCAAAGCUUCUAACCUAGUUUUUAACAAACUAAGGCAUAACAGAAGAGGCAAGUCGUAACAUGGUAAGUAUACCGGAAGGUGUGCUUGGAAA
rnacentral:rRNA from 1 species